rnacentral:rRNA from 1 species
AGCGAACGCUGGCGGCAGGCCUAACACAUGCAAGUCGAACGGACCCUUCGGGGUUAGUGGCGGACGGGUGAGUAACACGUGGGAACGUGCCCUUUGGUUCGGAACAACUCAGGGAAACUUGAGCUAAUACCGAAUGUGCCCUUCGGGGGAAAGAUUUAUCGCCAUUGGAGCGGCCCGCGUCUGAUUAGCUAGUUGGUGGGGUAAUGGCCUACCAAGGCGACGAUCAGUAGCUGGUCUGAGAGGAUGAUCAGCCACAUUGGGACUGAGACACGGCCCAAACUCCUACGGGAGGCAGCAGUGGGGAAUCUUGCGCAAUGGGCGAAAGCCUGACGCAGCCAUGCCGCGUGAAUGACGAAGGUCUUAGGAUUGUAAAAUUCUUUCACCGGGGACGAUAAUGACGGUACCCGGAGAAGAAGCCCCGGCUAACUUCGUGCCAGCAGCCGCCGUAACAC